GAAGUUGUUGGAGAAGUGGUAGAGGUAGGGCCAGAGGUAUCAAAAUUCAAAGUGGGGGAUAUAGUUGGAGUUGGAUUGCUUGUUGGAUGUUGCAAGACUUGCAGGCCUUGUAAGCAAGACAUUGAGCAAUAUUGUGCUAAGAAGAUAUGGAAUUGCAAUGAUGUCUACACUGAUGGCAAACCAACCCAAGGUGGUUUUGCUAAUUUCAUGGUUGUUGAACAAAAAUUUGUGGUGAAAAUUCCAGAUGGUAUGGCACCAGAAC
rnacentral:misc_RNA from 1 species